rnacentral:rRNA from 1 species
GACGAACGCUGGCGGCGUGCCUAAUACAUGCAAGUAGAACGCUGAAGAGAGGAGCUUGCUCUUCUUGGAUGAGUUGCGAACGGGUGAGUAACGCGUAGGUAACCUGCCUUGUAGCGGGGGAUAGCUAUUGGAAACGAUAGCUAAUACCGCAUAACAAUGGAUGACACAUGUCAUUUAUUUGAAAGGGGCAAUUGUUCCACUACAAGAUGGACCUGCGUUGUAUUAGCUAGUAGGUGAGGUAAUGGCUCACCUAGGCGACGAUACAUAGCCGACCUGAGAGGGUGAUCGGCCACACUGGGACUGAGACACGGCCCAGACUCCUACGGGAGGCAGCAGUAGGGAAUCUUCGGCAAUGGGGGCAACCCUGACCGAGCAACGCCGCGUGAGUGAAGAAGGUUUUCGGAUCGUAAAGCUCUGUUGUAAGUCAAGAACGGGUGUGAGAGUGGAAAGUUCACACUGUGACGGUAGCUUACCAGAAAGGGACGGCUAACUACGUG